rnacentral:rRNA from 1 species
UACGUAGGGUGCAAGCGUUGUCCGGAAUUAUUGGGCGUAAAGAGCUCGUAGGCGGUCUGUCGCGUCGGCUGUGAAAACUCGGGGCUCAACCCCGAGCCUGCAGUCGAUACGGGCAGACUAGAGUGCUGUAGGGGAGACUGGAAUUCCUGGUGUAGCGGUGAAAUGCGUAGAUAUCGGAAGGAACACCUGUGGCGAAAGCGGCUCACUGGACCAUUACUGACGCUGAGGAGCGAAAGCGUGGGGAGCGAACAGG